UUUUGUACGUCAAAAAAUAAUUUUCGCCAGAACUGGAAACGAAUUACAAUUUCUGCUGUGAGUAAGGAAAGGAGUCGUUAAAUAUUGUAAAUCGUAAUCCAAAAUGGCUCGUAAGCAAGAUGAGAAUCAGGAAGGUGACAAACUACCUUCUAACAUGGAGAAAGCUGUGGCCGAAUUGAGCCUCAAAGUUGCAUUACUUAAAGCGGCUGUCGCUAAAAAGAGGAAGUUGUUGGAUAAAAUGAAAAGCAGUUUGAACAAGAUGAAAACAUUAACAAAGAAAGGCAAGAAAUCCGCACCAGGACAGCCUUAAAGAAUUUCUUAACACCACCCAGAAGUCUUAUGGCUUAUGAUAACCAAGUUCUAAAUCAGAUCAUACACUACCUAACUCGAAGAUUUGAAAUCCAACAUUUCUGCAAUGCAAGUC